AUUGAACGCUGGCGGCAGGCUUAACACAUGCAAGUCGAACGGUAACAUAAAGAAGCUUGCUUCUUUGAUGACGAGUGGCGGACGGGUGAGUAAUGCUUGGGAAUCUAGCUUAUGGAGGGGGAUAACUACGGGAAACUGUAGCUAAUACCGCGUAGAAUCGAGAGAUGAAAGUGUGGGACCUUCGGGCCACAUGCCAUAGGAUGAGCCCAAGUGGGAUUAGGUAGUUGGUGGGGUAUAGGUGAACUUAGUGGACAACGGGUAGAUGGUAAGUUAGUGGGGACGAGCAUUGCUGGUACUGAGGGGGGACCAAGCCCCCCUCGGUC
rnacentral:rRNA from 1 species